rnacentral:tRNA from 1 species
GUCUCUGUGGUCUAGUGGUUAAGGCACCGGUGUUGAAAGCUGGGGGCCCGGGUUCGAUUCCCGGCAGAGACA